UUGACUGUCUCCCUCCUCAUGUUUCUCUCCUCCCCACAACAAUAGCAUGCAAGGAGAUUUAUAUAGACUGCUGAUUAGCUAUAGUGACUCCUGACCUUGCUGGAUUCUCGGGCUCUCCUAAGGUCUCUUCAACUGCCUGCGCUUUCUAAUCUGAAAAAAGUGCCAUUGAAAGAGUUACCUUAUGGUGCCAUCCCCUGAGAAGGCUUCAGAGCACAGACCACUAGCGAGAAGACUAGCAGAGGGAAAGAAAGAACCCUCACAAACAGUACCUCAAAAGGAAGGGAAGCACAAGAAAAAACCCUGUAUCUUAUCCUCAAGAAUUUCACUGACUUUUUCUCUCACCUACGAUCAUUUCCAAACACAAUUUCUUUCUCUGUAAUUGGUAAAGGUGUGGGGGGGGGGCAAUUUGGCAGAAUUUUUUGGCACAGCACUACUCUGUAUUUCCUAUUCUGAGGGUUGUUAUUUCCAGUGAAGGGGAAAGUUCCCUGCUUGUGUGCCUUGUUGGUGAAAGAGGUCUAGUGUCUUUA